GACUCUUAGCGGUGGAUCACUCGGAUUGUGCCUAGAUGAAGAAUGCAGUUAGGUGCGAGAAUUAAUGUGAAUUGCAGGACACAAUGAUCGUUGGCACUUGGAACGCACUUGCGGCCCCGGGUUCCUCCUGGAGCUAUGCCUGUCUGAGCGUCG
rnacentral:rRNA from 1 species